CGGAUCUGUAGCCCGUGGAGAGGAGACCACACAGGAGCAGACUCUUCUUCUUCUGCAUGAGGCAACAUGGGCUUAUAUGAAACUUAUGCCCUAAUUGCAGGCAAUGAACAUGAACACAAUCAGUAGCAGAGGCUGUAACAAGCGGAAUUCAAACGGAAUGAAAAUAAAGCACUGAAUAUUUAAACACAUUCAAGCUAAAAAUCUCAAGCUAGUAAUCUGCUGCUUGUGUCUUCCCCUCAAGGUGUAACUAGAAAUGUGCUAGUGCAGGAUUGCUGAAGAGACAUGAAAGAUUGCUGUUACA